CCAUGUCCCCAAGAUUUUUUUUUUUUUCCACGAAAAAGUAAUUUAUUUCAUUCAAAAAAAACACACAAGAGCCCACAUAGAAAUGGCUACAAGAACCCACACAAGGGUGACUCAAAACAUAAACUCGGAGAUGAAUGAACAAUCUCCAUCCACAAAAGCCCACAUAAAGGCGGCUACUUAAACCCACACCGGGGAAGCUUACAAUACCAAGAAACCAAAACCGACACUAGAUAAGGCUAAGCAACCCGAGCGAAUGAAAAGAUAAUUAGCAGAUUUUAAAUUUUUGUAGAGGCCAAUGAUCGGAAAUUGCAGCUGCUGCUGGCUAUAGCUCGCCACGCGGAAAAUUUCACCUCCUGCACCAUGACUUAUCGCUGCUGCUACACGCACGCAAAACGAUAACGCCCAAGAACUCAAACCCUGCGACUUCAUGACACGACAGGAAGAACCGCUACACGGUCCACAUUGCCUUCAGAUAAUGGUGCGACGCACAUCGCGCCCACUUACUCAUAGAUAGAAGCCCAGAUACAAACUCAACUAAGACGAGGCCUUACCAUACGGACCCUCCAGAACCACAUCCUGAGAACCGAAAAGCGAUCACUGCACCCACCACUCUACGAAUAACCUCUGCUAACCCAACUCUCACCACGCUUUAACACUACCACCACUAACGGAUUCAAGAAACCCACCAACACACUAAGGAAAAUUUUUAAAGACCAAACUAUGACAGCAAACCAACUGAGAACUAAACAACAACCAACCAACACAAAUACCACAAAGACAAGCCACUAACACAGACAAAAAUAACAACAACACCGAAACCUACAACAAAGACAACAAGACCUAGAACUACGACACUCGGGAUUGAAAGACAGCAGCAAAGGGAAUAAGCUGGAACGAUACCGGCGGGAUGAGACUCCGUCGAAAGACACCAAGAGACAGAACUUCUCACGCGCCACCACCUCCUGCACCAGCCCUUCAAACGACGGAUAGAGCUAUAACACACCGAGGCCGGUGAGAGAAACAUCCUCAACAGAUUCACGCGCCGCCUAACGGAGAGGAACACCGGAGAUCUCCAAACGGAAAACGAGAUCUGACAAACCUCAAACCCUAAAAACCGACUCCCUGAACUGACCAACCUUACACGCCUCGCCGGGACUCCAAAGACUGACGAACUCCACAACCGAACGAAACCUCAUGAGCAGAUCGCUGGAGAAGUGAAGUCGGAAGAAACCAGAGCCCCUUGCAUCUUGGACGGAGGAGAGGAACCAGAAGCAGAGAGCAAACAAAGACGAGGACUAAAAGCUAGGAGAGACGCCUCCGACACCGUCUAAUCCGGCGCCGGAGCAAGGCGGAGGUUUCUAUUGUUGUUCGCAGAGAGAAUUGCAAUUGGUAUUUAAUGCUCUUCUAUACGUUUUCAAUCUUCAAUGAUAGGUGUGCACAAUAUUGAAUGUUGUGCACAAUAUUGAAUGGUUUUAAAUUUCUGGCAAAAUAUUGAAAAAGAUUGCAGUUGCAAAAUAUUUUUGUUCCCAAGAUUACAAACAUCAUAUCCCGAGAUGAUGCUAUUUGAAAUUUAUAAUCACAAUAUAUAUGAUACUAAUAUAAGGAAAUUCCAUAUUAAACGAAAAAAGAGAUUCAGUAUCAAUAUAGACUAUUUAGUAACUUAUCUUUUGGAAAUAUCUCAUAUAUCCCAUAUCCCCUAUAUAUUAUUUGAGAAGCAUUACAACAUUUUUUUGUAGC
rnacentral:lncRNA from 1 species